rnacentral:rRNA from 1 species
AGAGUUUGAUCCUGGCUCAGAUUGAACGCUGGCGGCAGGCCUAAUACAUGCAAGUCGAACGGUAACAUGGAAGUAGCAAUACUUUUGAUGACGAGUGGCGGACGGGUGAGUAAAAUUUGGGAAUCUACCUAUCAGAGGGGGAUAGCAACUGGAAACGGUUGAUAAAACCGCGUACGCUCUGAGGAGGAAAGUAAUGGGAUCGGAAGACCAUUAGCUGAUAGAUGAGCCCAAACGGGAUUAGCUAGUAGGCGGGGUAAUAGCCCACCUAGGCGACGAUCUCUAGCUGGUUUUAGCGGAUGAUCAGCCACAUUGGAACUGAGACACGGUCCAAACUCCUACGGGAGGCAGCAGUAGGGAAUAUUGCACAAUGGAGGGAACUCUGAUGCAGCCAUGCCGCGUGUGUGAAGAAGGCCUUCGGGUUGUAAAGCACUUUAGUUUUCGAGAAAGGGUGCAAUUCGAAUAGGGUUGCAUUCAGAUGUUAGAAAAAGAAUAAGUACCGGCAAACUCCGUGCCAGCAGCCGCGGUAAUACGGAGGGUACGAGCGUUAAUCGGAAUGACUGGGCGUAAAGGGCACGUAGGUGGAUAGAUAAGUCACAAGUGAAAUACCCGGGCUUAACCUGGGAUUGGCUCGUGAAACUGUUUAACUAGAGUACGGUAGAGGGGAGUAGAAUUCCAAGUGUAGCGGUGAAAUGCGUAGAGAUUUGGAAGAAUACCGGAGGCGAAGGCGGCUCUCUGGACCGAUACUGACACUGAAGAGCGAAAGCGCGGGGAGCAAACAGGAUUAGAUACCCUGGUAGUCCACGCUGUAAACGAUGAAUGCUAGGUGUAGGGGUCGAAGGACUUCUGUGCCGCAGUUAACACAAUAAGCAUUCCACCUGGGGAGUACGGCCGCAAGGUUGAAACUCAAAGGAAUUGACGGGAGCCCGCACAAGCAGUGGAGUAUGUGGUUUAAUUCGACGCAACGCGAAGAACCUUACCAGAGCUUGACAUCCACGGAAUACCGAGUAAUGUUGGUAGUGCCCUUCGGGGAGCCGUGAGACAGGUGGUGCAUGGUUGUCGUCAGCUCGUGUCGUGAGAUGUUGGGUUAAGUCCCGCAACGAGCGCAACCCUUAUGUUCAGUUGCUACGGAAAGAGAACUCUGAACAGACUGCCGUUGACAAAACGGAGGAAGGUGGGGACGACGUCAAAUCAUCAUGCCCCUUACGCCCUGGGCUACACACGUACUACAAUGGCGCAAACAAAGGGAAGCGAUACCGCGAGGUGGAGCAAAUCCCAUAAAAGGCGUCCCAGUUCGGAUUGCAGGCUGCAACCCGCCUGUAUGAAGUUGGAAUUGCUAGUAAUCGCGGAUCAGCAUGCCGCGGUGAAUACGUUCCCGGGCUUUGUACACACCGCCCGUCAAACCAUGAAAGUUGGGAACACCCGAAGCCUGUGAGCUAACCGCAAGGAGGCAGCAGUCGAAGGUGGGUUCAAUGAUUGGGGUUAAGUCGUAACAAGGUAACC